CGGCUCAUCGCAUCCUGGGGCUGUAGUCGGUCCCAAGGGUUGGGCUGUUCGCCCAUUAAAGCGGUACGCGAGCUGGGUUCAGAACGUCGUGAGACAGUUCGGUCCCUAUCCGUCGUGGGCGUAGGAAAUUUGAGAGGAGCUGUCCUUAGUACGAGAGGACCGGGAUGGACAUACCUCUGGUGUACCAGUUGUCGUGCCAACGGCAUAGCUGGGUAGCUAUGUGUGGACGGGAUAAGUGCUGAAAGCAUCUAAGCAUGAAGCCCCCCUCAAGAUGAGAUUUCCCAACUUCGGUUAUAAGAUCCCUCAAAGAUGAUGAGGUUAAUAGGUUCGAGGUGGAAGCAUGGUGACAUGUGGAGCUGACGAAUACUAAUCGAUCGAAGACUUAAUCAA
rnacentral:rRNA from 1 species